CCUACGGGUGGCAGCAGUGAGGAAUAUUGGUCAAUGGUCGGGAGCCUGAACCAGCCAAGCCGCGUGAGGGAGGAAGGUACAGAGUAUCGUAAACCUCUUUUGUCGGGGAACAAAGGCGGGGACGUGUCCCCGGAUGAGUGUACCUGAAGAAAAAGCAUCGGCUAACUCCGUGCCAGCAGCCGCGGUAAUACGGAGGAUGCGAGCGUUAUCCGGAUUUAUUGGGGUUAGAGGGUGCGCAGGGGGGCUGUUAAGUCAGCGGUAAAAGCCCGGGGCUCAACCCCGACCCGCCGUUGAAACUGGCAGUCUAGAGUUGGAGAGAAGUAUGCGGAAUGCGCGGUGUAGCGGUGAAAUGCAUAGAUAUCGCGCAGAACUCCGAUUGCGAAGGCAGCAUGCCGGCUCCACACUGACGCUGAGGCACGAAAGCGUGGGUAUCGAACAGGAUUAGAUACCCGUGUAGUC
rnacentral:rRNA from 1 species